rnacentral:rRNA from 1 species
UACGUAGGGGGCAAGCGUUGUCCGGAAUCAUUGGGCGUAAAGAGCGUGUAGGCGGCUUGGUAAGUCCGCUGUGAAAGUCCAGGGCUCAACCCUGGAAUGCCGGUGGAAACUGUCGAGCUAGAGUCCGGAAGAGGCGAGUGGAAUUCCUGGUGUAGCGGUGAAAUGCGCAGAUAUCAGGAGGAACACCAAUGGCGAAGGCAGCUCGCUGGGACGGUACUGACGCUGAGACGCGAAAGCGUGGGGAGCAAACAGG